rnacentral:rRNA from 1 species
GACGAACGCUGGCGGCGUGCUUAACACAUGCAAGUCGAACGGAAAGGCCCUGCUUUUGUGGGGUGCUCGAGUGGCGAACGGGUGAGUAACACGUGAGUAACCUGCCCUUGACUUUGGGAUAACUUCAGGAAACUGGGACUAAUACCGGAUAGGAGCUCCUGCUGCAUGGUGGGGGUUGGAAAGUUUCGGCGGUUGGGGAUGGACUCGCGGCUUAUCAGCUUGUUGGUGGGGUAGUGGCUUACCAAGGCUUUGACGGGUAGCCGGCCUGAGAGGGUGACCGGCCACAUUGGGACUGAGAUACGGCCCAGACUCCUACGGGAGGCAGCAGUGGGGAAUAUUGCACAAUGGGCGGAAGCCUGAUGCAGCAACGCCGCGUGCGGGAUGACGGCCUUCGGGUUGUAAACCGCUUUCGCCUGUGACGAAGCGUGAGUGACGGUAAUGGGUAAAGAAGCACGGGCUAACUACGUG